GAUGAACGCUGGCGGCGUGCCUAAUACAUGCCAGUCGAGCGAACAGACGAGGAGCUUGCUCCUCUGACGUUAGCGGCGAACGGGUGAGUAACACGUGGAUAACCUACCUAUAAGACUGGGAUAACUUCGGGAAACCGGAGCUAAUACCGGAUAACAUGUUGAACCGCAUGGUUUAACAGUGAAAGACGGUCUUGCUGUCACUUAUAGAUGGAUCCGCGCCGCAUUAGCUAGUUGGUAAGGUAACGGCUUACCAAGGCAACGAUGCGUAGCCGACCUGAGAGGGUGAUCGGCCACACUGGAACUGAGACACGGUCCAGACUCCUACGGGAGGCAGCAGUAGGGAAUCUUCCGCAAUGGGCGAAAGCCUGACGGAGCAACGCCGCGUGAGUGAAGAAGGUCUUCGGAUCGUAAAACUCUGUUAUUAGGGAAGAACAAAUGUGUAAGUAACUAUGCACGUCUUGACGGUACCUAAUCAGAAAGCCACGGCUAACUACGUG
rnacentral:rRNA from 1 species